rnacentral:rRNA from 1 species
GAUCCUGGCUCAGGAUGAACGCUAGCGACAGGCUUAACACAUGCAAGUCGAGGGGCAGCACAGGUAGCAAUACUGGGUGGCGACCGGCGCACGGGUGAGUAACGCGUAUGCAACUUGCCUAUCAGAGGGGGAUAACCCGGCGAAAGUCGGACUAAUACCGCAUGAAGCAGGGAUCCCGCAUGGGAAUAUUUGCUAAAGAUUCAUCGCUGAUAGAUAGGCAUGCG